rnacentral:rRNA from 1 species
UUCCGUAGGUGAACCUGCGGAAGGAUCAUUACAUUCAG